rnacentral:rRNA from 1 species
AUACGGAGGGUGCAAGCGUUACUCGGAAUCACUGGGCGUAAAGCGCGCGCAGGCGGCUUGAUAAGUUGGAUGUGAAAGCCUACGGCUCAACCGUAGAACUGCAUCCAAAACUGUCAGGCUAGAGUGUGGGAGUGGAAGAUGGAAUUAGUUGUGUAGGGGUAAAAUCCGUAGAGAUAACUAGGAAUACCAAAAGCGAAGGCAAUCUUCUGGAACACUACUGACGCUGAGGCGCGAAGGCGUGGGGAGCAAACAGGAUUAGAAACCCUAGUAGUCC